UACGGAGGGUGCAAGCAUUGAUCGGAAUUACUGGGCGUAAAGGGCGCGUAGGCGGCUUUGAAAGUCAGAUGUGAAAUUUCGGGGCUCAACCCCGAAGCUGCAUUUGAAACUUCAGAGCUAGAGUUCAGUUAGGGUAAACGGAAUUCCACGUGUAGCGGUGAAAUGCGUAGAUAUGUGGAAGAACACCGGUGGUGAAGACGGUUUACUGGGCUGAUACUGACGCUGAGGCGCGAAAGCCAGGGGAGCGAACGGG
rnacentral:rRNA from 1 species